rnacentral:rRNA from 1 species
CCUACGGGAGGCAGCAGUGGGGAAUAUUGGACAAUGGGCGAAAGCCUGAUCCAGCAAUGCCGCGUGAGUGAUGAAGGCCUUAGGGUUGUAAAGCUCUUUUACCAGGGAUGAUAAUGACAGUACCUGGAGAAUAAGCUCCGGCUAACUCCGUGCCAGCAGCCGCGGUAAUACGGAGGGAGCUAGCGUUGUUCGGAAUUACUGGGCGUAAAGCGUACGUAGGCGGUUAUUCAAGUCAGAGGUGAAAGCCCGGGGCUCAACCCCGGAACUGCCUUUGAAACUAGAUAGCUAGAAUCUUGGAGAGGUUAGUGGAAUUCCGAGUGUAGAGGUGAAAUUCGUAGAUAUUCGGAAGAACACCAGUGGCGAAGGCGACUAACUGGACAAGUAUUGACGCUGAGGUACGAAAGCGUGGGGAGCAAACAGGAUUAGAUACCCUGGUAGUCCACGCCGUAAACGAUGAUAACUAGUUGUUCGGGCACUUGGUGCCUGAGUGACGCAGCUAACGCAUUAAGUUAUCCGCCUGGGGAGUACGGUCGCAAGAUUAAAACUUAAAGGAAUUGAACGG